rnacentral:rRNA from 1 species
ACGAACGCUGGCGGCGUGCCUAAUACAUGCAAGUAGAACGCUGAAGAGAGGAGCUUGCUCUUCUUGGAUGAGUUGCGAACGGGUGAGUAACGCGUAGGUAACCUGCCUUGUAGCGGGGGAUAACUAUUGGAAACGAUAGCUAAUACCGCAUAACAAUGGAUGACCCAUGUCAUUUAUUUGAAAGGGGCAAAUGCUCCACUACAAGAUGGACCUGCGUUGUAUUAGCUAGUAGGUGAGGUAACGGCUCACCUAGGCGACGAUACAUAGCCGACCUGAGAGGGUGAUCGGCCACACUGGGACUGAGACACGGCCCAGACUCCUACGGGAGGCAGCAGUAGGGAAUCUUCGGCAAUGGGGGCAACCCUGACCGAGCAACGCCGCGGGAGUGAAGAAGGUUUUCGGAUCGUAAAGCUCUGUUGUAAGUCAAGAACGAGUGUGAGAGUGGAAAGUUCACACUGUGACGGUAGCUUACCAGAAAGGGACGGCUAACUACGUG